AUGGCACAAGACACAGUGCUGUUGCUCGACACCGCGCAAGAUCGCCAGUUGGAGCCAGAUGAGGUCGCGCUUCGCAAAGAUCUUAAAUCGCGGAUUCUUGGUCUUACGGUCAUUGAGAGAAUCAAAGCUCGCCAGCGUGCCAGGGUCAAUACAUUGAGGGCUGGAGAUGCGAACACCAAGUUCUUUCACAUCAAGGCCAAUGCUAGGAGGCGCAAAAACUUCAUUGCUUCUCUCUCCUCAGAUGCCGGCUUGGCAACGGAGCACGGGCACAAAGCGCAG
rnacentral:rRNA from 1 species